rnacentral:rRNA from 1 species
CCUACGGGAGGCAGCAGUGAGGAAUAUUGGUCAAUGGAUGAGAGUCUGAACCAGCCAAGUAGCGUGAAGGAUGACUGCCCUAUGGGUUGUACACUUCUUUUAUAAAGGAAUAAAACGAGGCACGUGUGCCUUUUUGCAUGUACUUUAUGAAUAAGGAUCGGCUAACUCCGUGCCAGCAGCCGCGGUAAUACGGAGGAUCCGAGCUUUAUCCGGAUUUAUUGGGUUUAAAGGGUGGGUAGGCGGCCUGUUAAGUCAGCGGUAAAAGCCCGGGGCACAACCCCGGCGAGCCGUUGAAACUGGCGGGCUGGAGUUGGAGAGAGGUACGCGGAAUGCGCGGGGUAGCGGGGAAAUGCUUA